GAAGACGACGAAGAAGAAGACGACACCCACAGACACAAACAACAGACAAACAACAGACUUGCAGCGAACAAACAGCCGCUGAAAAACACUAAAUCUGCGUCACAGAUCCACAAACUGUCAGAAAUGGUUUGACUGAUCAUCAACGCCUGCAGGUACGUGGUGCGGAGGAUCCGGGCUUCGGCGGAAAGCGAAGGGCAGCCGAAGACGAUCACAGCAUCAUGUAAGCAGGUGAAAGGACAAGGAGACGACAGGAUGAGCGCCGAGCCAGCCUUGAUCCCCCAACCGACGGAGGCUGUCGACGUGCAGCGGAAGGAACAGUGCGGAUCCUGAAAGUAAACCGAGAGCUGGAGGGAAGAGUGGAGGGUUCAUAAUGAGGAGACAAAUACAUAAACACACACACACACACACACAGAAACAAACACACACACAAAAUCUGUCUCGGAAGGUCAGUUUUUUACUAAAGUCAAGUCGAUAUCACAUCAUGUCGACUGUUGUGGCUCUAAAAGGUCGUUUUAACAAAUGUAAAGGAAACAUCAGCAACUGUUUUUUAAAUAUCAUCUUUUCCAUUAGAUAUAUAUAUAAUACAUACUGUUGGCACUGACAUGUAAAUUUCCCUCCAAAAUGCAACAUAAAUCGCACAUAAACACGACCUUCACAUAACCUCCGACUGCUUCCAGCUCUCGGUUUGCUUUCUCGCUCGUCCUUCGUGCAGUGAAGUGAGCGAGCGGUCCGAGUCUGCAGAGAGAAUGAAAGUCUGAUCACCAAAUCCUCAACCGAGGAACUGAUCAGUCUGGAUCAAUAUUUAAGACUCUGCUGAUGAAGCCGCUCCAAGUCAUAUAUAUAUAAAUAUUAAUUAAUUCAUGUGUUCAUAGACUUGUUCUAAUUCUCUGUCACUGGAAUCAUUUUCAUUAAACAAGAACACAUUU